ensembl:lncRNA
GAGGAAGGCACUGGAACCCUGAGAGGGGCAGAGAUGUGCCCAGCUGGCACAGCCAGCAUGUGGUGGAGUCAGAACUGCCCAGCUCCAGACCCUUGUUCUCCCUCACCACACUCACUGCCAGUAACCCAGCUGCUGCCACACCCUCCACCCUCUCAAGUGCUCCUAAGGAGAAGGCCACCUGAACUCUGGACACAAGAAACAAGCCCUCUGGAUAAGUUACAAAAUGCUACAGCCCAUCAGUCUCCAAGAACAGAAGACUCCAGCAAUAUGUAUGGUUCUUUACCUGUCCCCACGGCCUCUGUCUUAGCCUGGAUGGACCAUGAUCCCUGUCUGUCUUUUGGUGCUAAUGUUCUCUCGCCUGCCUGCCUCCCGUCUCCCUGCCCUCUCUGAUUCAUUCUCUUUGCUUCAAACUGUGUCACAGUUUAAAUGAAAGUUGCCAGGGAAAAACUUUUUAUAAAUUAAAAAAAAAAUGUAUCACAGCACUAUCUUUUCUAAACCCUAUUGUCCUUGAGACAAAGCCCCAUAUUCUCACACAUACACAGACUCUCCUGCCUGAGUACUCUUCCCUCUGCCUCAACAUUCUUGCCCCAACUAAUCCCUGCUGGACUUUCAGGUUUCAGCAUCUGCACUGCCCACUCGAGAAGCCUUCCCUGGUUCCCCACCCCAACUCCAAGGUUAGAUGUCUGCCCUAAUUCUCUACCAUGGCAUUUCUCUACUGGUUACUGUUACCAGUUAAUUAUAGGGAGUCCAAGAGGGAGACUCCCCCAUCUGUAUUGCCCACAUUACACCCACAGGGUGCAGCACAGUGCCCAUGUCACCAACAAAUAGUUUUUAAGCAUCUAUUAAAUGUCAGGCACCACAACUGGCCCUGGGAAAAUGAUGGAGACUUAACAAAGUUCUCCUCUUCAUAGAAUUUACACUCUUGGUUUGUGUAUAUUCUAAAGUUAUUGCGGGCUGGAUGUGGUGGCUUACGUCUGUAAUCCCAGCACUUUGGGAGGCCGAGGCAAGUGGAUCACCCAAGGUCAGGAGUUCAAGACCAGCCUGGCCAACAUGGUGAAACCCCAACUCCACUAAAAAUGCAAAAGAACUAGCUGAGUGUGGUGGUGUGCACCUGCAGUCCCAGCUACUUGGGAGGCUGAGGCAGGAGAAUUGUUUGAGUCCAGGAGGUGGAGGUUGCAGUAAGCCAAGAUUGCGCCACUGCACUCCAGCCUGGGUGACAGAGUGAGACUCCUGUUCCAAAAAUAAAAAUAAACAAAAUAAAUAAUAAAGUGAUUGCAGUGAGUAUGCAUUGUUUUUAUGGGAAAGGAAACAGGAAGGAAGGAAGAAAGGGAAGAAGGAAGGGAGGGAGGGAGAAGAAAGGGAAGGAGAGAGAAAUGAGGGGGGAGAGAGAGAGAGAAAAGAAAGAUCAGCUCUGGUCCAAACUUCUCAGUGGGUGUUCAGCUUUCAGGACCCUCUCUUGUUCAAGCCUCUUGCCUCGCUUUUAUUCACUUUCUUGCACAAACUUAAUGCUCCAGAGAGAAUGCAAUUCCCCAAACUACCACAUCCAUUCCUACCCCUGAGCCUUUGAACAUGCUGUCCCAUGUGCCUAGAGCACUUUUGCUGACCUCAUACCUCCUGGUUGACCUUCAGGAUUCAGCUCUCAAGCGUC